ensembl:snoRNA SNORD15 Small nucleolar RNA SNORD15
CUUCAGUGAUGAUACGAUGACGAGUCGGAACGGGACACCCUUUGUCUCUGAGGAUUCUGGGUCGUGGAUCACGUUCUGUGAUUCUGAUUCAGGUCCUCAGAGCAGAUUGUUCCUUUCGGUUGAAGACAUCGAGGCAUUUGUCUGAGAAGA